UACAAUUCUCUUCCAUUUUCUUAAGCUUAA
rnacentral:piRNA from 1 species